rnacentral:rRNA from 1 species
UUUAAAGCAAUUAAGGGCGUAUGGUGGAUGCCUUGGCUCUAAGAGGCGAUGAAGGACGUGGUAAGCUGCGAUAAGCUGCGGGGAGCUGCACACAAGCAUUAUAUCCGCAGAUUUCCGAAUGGGACAACCCAGUACACUGAAGGUGUAUUAUCCGAAAGGAAGCCAACCCUCUGAACUGAAACAUCUAAGUAGGAGGAGGAAAAGAAAACAAACGUGAUUUCCAGAGUAGUGGCGAGCGAAAUGGAAACAGCCUAAACCACAGUGGCGUGCUGCUGUGGGGUUGUAGGGCCGCAUUUAGAAUCUGUCAUCAAACUGAACUUUCUGGAAAGUUAGGCCAUAGCGGGUGAUAGCCCCGUAAGUACAAAUUGACAGUGACGAGCGGUACCCUGAGUAAGGCGGGACCGGAGGAAUCCUGCCCGAAUCUGCCGGCACCAUCCGGUAAGGCUAAAUACUCCUUAGAGACCGAUAGUGAACCAGUACCGUAAGGGAAAGGUGAAAAGCACCCCAAACAGGGGAGUGAAAUAGUACCUGAAACCGUGCGCCUACAAGCGGUCGGAGCAGCGCAAGCUGUGACGGCGUGCCUUUUGCAUAAUGAACCUACGAGUUACUCCUCACUGGCGAGGUUAAGUUCUUAAGUAACGGAGCCGUAGCGAAAGCGAGUCCAAAUAGGGCGCUUAGUCAGUGGGGGUAGACGCGAAACUUUGUGAUCUAUCCAUGAGCAGGUUGAAGGUGUGGUAACACAUACUGGAGGACCGAACUCAUUAGCGUUGAAAAGCUAUGGGAUGACUUGUGGAUAGGGGUGAAAGGCCAAUCAAACUGAGAGAUAGCUCGUUCUCCCCGAAAUGUUUUUAGGAACAGCGUCGCAUAUAGAAGUUUAUUAGAGGUAGAGCUACUGAUUGGGCUAGGGGGCUUCACCGCCUACCAAACCCUGACAAACUCCGAAUGCUAAUAAAUAUCUGCGGCAGUGAGGCUGCGGGUGCUAAGAUCCGUGGCCGAGAGGGAAAUAACCCAGAUUAGCAACUAAGGUCCCUAAUACGUAGUUAAGUUGAUCAAACGAAGUUUGAACCCUAUAACAGCCAGGAUGUUGGCUUGGAAGCAGCCAUUCAUUUAAAGAGUGCGUAACAGCUCACUGGUCGAGGGUUCAGGCACGGAAAAUAAUCGGGCAUCAAACUACGAACCGAAGUUCUAAGAUUGCCACUAGGUGGUAUAUCGGUAGGGGAGCAUUCUGAUCUGCUGCGAAGGUGUACGGCGACGUAUGCUGGAGCGAUCAGAAAAGAAAAUGUAGGUAUAAGUAACGAUAAAUAAAGUGAAAAACUUUAUCGCCGUAAGUCUAAGGGUUCCUGAUCAACGUUAAUCGGAUCAGGGUUAGUCGGGUCCUUAGGAAAACCCGAAAGGGGCAUCUGAUGGAAAACUGGUUAAUAUUCCAGUACCCGCUUUAGUUUCGAUGGGGUGACGCAGAAGUGAACAUCACACGAUGGAUACGGAAUUCCACGUUUAAGUACGUAGCUAUAUCUUUUACAGGCAAAUCCGUAAGAGAUGGCGAAAUACGAAAGUAUAUGAGGGCUUCGGCCCGAUUGAGUGAUCUAAUAGCUGCCGAGAAAAACCUCUAAGGUUAGGCUAGAGCGGCCCGUACCGCAAACCGACACAGGUAGACGAGAAGAAUAUUCUAAGGCGCUCGGGUGAGCCGUGGAGAAGGAACUAGGCAAAUUGUGGCUGUAACUUCGGGAUAAAGCCAGCCUACUUCGGUAGGCCUCAGUAAAAUGGUUCAACCAACUGUUUAACAAAAACACAGGGCCCUGCAAAAUCGUAAGAUGACGUAUAGAGCCUGAUACCUGCCCGGUGCUGGAAGGUUAAGGAAGGAUGUUCGGCGCAAGCCAAAGCUUCUGACUGAAGCCCCAGUAAACGGCGGCCGUAACUAUAACGGUCCUAAGGUAGCGAAAUUCCUUGUCGGGUAAGUUCCGACCUGCACGAAUGGUCUAAUGAGUUGAACACUGUCUCCUCCACGAGCCCGGUGAAAUUGUAGU